rnacentral:rRNA from 1 species
UACGGAGGGUGCAAGCGUUAAUCGGAAUUACUGGGCGUAAAGCGUGCGUAGGCGGUUUGUUAAGUCUGUUGUGAAAGCCCCGGGCUCAACCUGGGAAUGGCAAUGGAUACUGGCAAGCUAGAGUGUGAUAGAGGAUGGUGGAAUUCCCGGUGUAGCGGUGAAAUGCGUAGAGAUCGGGAGGAACAUCAGUGGCGAAGGCGGCCAUCUGGAUCAACACUGACGCUGAGGCACGAAAGCGUGGGGAGCAAACAGG